rnacentral:tRNA from 1 species
GAGGGUGUAGCUCAGUGGUAGAGCACAUGCCUAGCAUGCAUGAGGCCCUGGGUUCAAUCCCCAGCACCUCUU